UCAUUUCCUGAACAAACCACUGGUCGC
rnacentral:piRNA from 1 species